UACGUAGGGUCCGAGCGUUAAUCGGAAUUACUGGGCGUAAAGCGUGCGCAGGCGGUUUUGUAAGCCAGAUGUGAAAUCCCCGGGCUUAACUUGGGAACUGCAUUUGGGACUGCAAGGCUGGAGUACGGCAGAGGGAGGUGGAAUCCACGUGUAGCAGUGAAAUGCGUAGAGAUGUGGAGGAACACCGAUGGCGAAGGCAGCCUCCUGGGCUAGUACUGACGCUCAUGCACGAAAGCGUGGGGAGCAAACAGG
rnacentral:rRNA from 1 species